rnacentral:rRNA from 1 species
GGGUUGUGAGGUUAAGCGACUAAGCGUACACGGUGGAUGCCCUGGCAGUCAGAGGCGAUGAAGGGCGUGCUAAUCUGCGAUAAGCGCCGGUAAGGUGAUAUGAACCGUUAUAACCGGCGAUACCCGAAUGGGGAAACCCAGUGUGAUUCGUCACACUAUCAUUAACUGAAUCCAUAGGUUAAUGAGGCGAACCGGGGGAACUGAAACAUCUAAGUACCCCGAGGAAAAGAAAUCAACCGAGAUUCCCCCAGUAGCGGCGAGCGAACGGGGAGGAGCCCAGAGCCUGAAUCAGCAUGUGUGUUAGUGGAAGCGUCUGGAAAGGCGCGCGAUACAGGGUGACAGCCCCGUACACAAAAGCGCAUGUGCUGUGAGCUCGAUGAGUAGGGCGGGACACGUGGUAUCCUGUCUGAAUAUGGGGGGACCAUCCUCCAAGGCUAAAUACUCCUGACUGACCGAUAGUGAACCAGUACCGUGAGGGAAAGGCGAAAAGAACCCCGGCGAGGGGAGUGAAAAAGAACCUGAAACCGUGUACGUACAAGCAGUGGGAGCACNNNNNNNNNNNNNNNNNNNNNNNNNNNNNNNNNNNNNNNNNNNNNNNNNNNNGGGCGUUAAGUUGCAGGGUAUAGACCCGAAACCCGGUGAUCUAGCCAUGGGCAGGUUGAAGGUUGGGUAACACUAACUGGAGGACCGAACCGACUAAUGUUGAAAAAUUAGCGGAUGACCUGUGGCUGGGGGUGAAAGGCCAAUCAAACCGGGAGAUAGCUGGUUCUCCCCGAAAGCUAUUUAGGUAGCGCCUCGUGAAUUCAUCUCCGGGGGUAGAGCACUGUUUCGGCUAGGGGGCCAUCCCGGCUUACCAACCCGAUGCAAACUGCGAAUACCGGAGAAUGUUAUCACGGGAGACACACGGCGGGUGCUAACGUCCGUCGUGAAGAGGGAAACAACCCAGACCGCCAGCUAAGGUCCCAAAGUCAUGGUUAAGUGGGAAACGAUGUGGGAAGGCCCAGACAGCCAGGAUGUUGGCUUAGAAGCAGCCAUCAUUUAAAGAAAGCGUAAUAGCUCACUGGUCGAGUCGGCCUGCGCGGAAGAUGUAACGGGGCUAAACCAUGCACCGAAGCUGCGGCAGCGACACUGUGUGUUGUUGGGUAGGGGAGCGUUCUGUAAGCCUGCGAAGGUGGCCUGUGAGGGUUGCUGGAGGUAUCAGAAGUGCGAAUGCUGACAUAAGUAACGAUAAAGCGGGUGAAAAGCCCGCUCGCCGGAAGACCAAGGGUUCCUGUCCAACGUUAAUCGGGGCAGGGUGAGUCGACCCCUAAGGCGAGGCCGAAAGGCGUAGUCGAUGGGAAACGGGUUAAUAUUCCCGUACUUGGUGUUACUGCGAAGGGGGGACGGAGAAGGCUAUGUUGGCCGGGCGACGGUUGUCCCGGUUUAAGCGUGUAGGUGUGUGUUCCAGGUAAAUCCGGUUCACUUUAACACUGAGGCGUGACGACGAGGCACUACGGUGCUGAAGCAACAAAUGCCCUGCUUCCAGGAAAAGCCUCUAAGCAUCAGGUAACAUCAAAUCGUACCCCAAACCGACACAGGUGGUCAGGUAGAGAAUACCAAGGCGCUUGAGAGAACUCGGGUGAAGGAACUAGGCAAAAUGGUGCCGUAACUUCGGGAGAAGGCACGCUGACACGUAGGUGAAGUGAUUUACUCAUGGAGCUGAAGUCAGUCGAAGAUACCAGCUGGCUGCAACUGUUUAUUAAAAACACAGCACUGUGCAAACACGAAAGUGGACGUAUACGGUGUGACGCCUGCCCGGUGCCGGAAGGUUAAUUGAUGGGGUCAGCGCAAGCGAAGCUCCUGAUCGAAGCCCCGGUAAACGGCGGCCGUAACUAUAACGGUCCUAAGGUAGCGAAAUUCCUUGUCGGGUAAGUUCCGACCUGCACGAAUGGCGUAAUGAUGGCCAGGCUGUCUCCACCCGAGACUCAGUGAAAUUGAACUCGCUGUGAAGAUGCAGUGUACCCGCGGCAAGACGGAAAGACCCCGUGAACCUUUACUAUAGCUUGACACUGAACAUUGAGCCUUGAUGUGUAGGAUAGGUGGGAGGCUUUGAAGUGUGGACGCCAGUCUGCAUGGAGCCGACCUUGAAAUACCACCCUUUAAUGUUUGAUGUUCUAACGUGGACCCGUUACCCGGGUUGCGGACAGUGUCUGGUGGGUAGUUUGACUGGGGCGGUCUCCUCCUAAAGAGUAACGGAGGAGCACGAAGGUUGGCUAAUCCUGGUCGGACAUCAGGAGGUUAGUGCAAUGGCAUAAGCCAGCUUGACUGCGAGCGUGACGGCGCGAGCAGGUGCGAAAGCAGGUCAUAGUGAUCCGGUGGUUCUGAAUGGAAGGGCCAUCGCUCAACGGAUAAAAGGUACUCCGGGGAUAACAGGCUGAUACCGCCCAAGAGUUCAUAUCGACGGCGGUGUUUGGCACCUCGAUGUCGGCUCAUCACAUCCUGGGGCUGAAGUAGGUCCCAAGGGUAUGGCUGUUCGCCAUUUAAAGUGGUACGCGAGCUGGGUUUAGAACGUCGUGAGACAGUUCGGUCCCUAUCUGCCGUGGGCGCUGGAGAACUGAGGGGGGCUGCUCCUAGUACGAGAGGACCGGAGUGGACGCAUCACUGGUGUUCGGGUUGUCAUGCCAAUGGCACUGCCCGGUAGCUAAAUGCGGAAGAGAUAAGUGCUGAAAGCAUCUAAGCACGAAACUUGCCCCGAGAUGAGUUCUCCCUGAGACUUAGAGUCUCCUGAAGGAACGUUGAAGACGACGACGUUGAUAGGCCGGGUGUGUAAGCGCAGCGAUGCGUUGAGCUAACCGGUACUAAUGAACCGUGAGGCUUAACCUUACAACGCCGAAG